rnacentral:lncRNA from 1 species
UGAUAUUCUGAGAUUUUCAAGCAAAACUUCUAGGACUGUAAAGUGACAAUUGACAACAUGGCAAUCAACACAAUGGUUCAGAUGCCCUAUGGUCAAGAGACACUCGCACCAUAAAAUUGCAAUACUGGUGAGCUGUGAAAAUUAAUUUUCUCGGCUUGGUCAAGAGCCCUAUGGUCACGCAAGCCACACGAUGAUGUCCCUUCUUGAACCGCCAUUCCAAGAAACUGAGACUGGGGAACAAUCAGCACCCACAGCAACUGCAAACACCACCCUCUGUUAUUAAGCUGGUAAAGCUCUACUCGCCUCAAACACAAACUUCUCCAUUCAAACCACAGAAUGCACAUGGCUAAUGUGGAAAAUCAACAAAACCCCAAUCUGCUACUAUUAAUUAUUGCCGAGGUGUAGAAACAUAGUUACAAUGAGAUUGUUGAUGAUUACGGUGGAGAACAACUUCGUCAUGACCUUGUGGGAGGGGCAGUGGCAAUGUAGACGAAGCUGCGGCCGCUAGUGCGCAUGAACUCGGAGCCGGUGACGCGGCCGAUGGAGCCGAACACGACCUCCAGAUCGACCGCGGACAUGCUCUCCGCCAGACCGACGACGUCCAACGACAUGGACUAUCUGCAAAAGAAUUGAAAUGCAACAGUCAUAUGCAAAUAUAUUAGAUAAAAGACGACUGAGUUUUCCCAAUUAACAUUUGCACCACGUCAUAUGAAGCAUUGUGGUAUGAUCUAGCACCAAAUUUUGGAUUUCAAAAAAAGUUCGUGAAGAUGAACCUCAAGGACCAAAAGAUCGGCAUGGGCCCUCCACUGAUAUGUGCACUCUGUAAGGCGGUGUGUGCAGAGAAUGUGUAACCUUAGAGCUGCUGAGGCGGGAGGCACCGCAGUCCAUCCGCGUCCACAAUAUAGGCCUUACUUCUACUCCAGCGCGAGCUCCAGUACGCAGGUGUGAGCAUGCCAAAGUAGGCUGAAAUUCCCAAUCCAAGAGCGCGAGGCCAUGGUCGCACUCUAGCGACCCCUCACCACUCUUCCUGCCCUCUCUCUUGUUCUCGUUGCCUCUUCCUCCUUGUUUCCUUCUCCCAAUCCUCCUGCACUCUGUUGUAGGUGUAGUACCCUCUACUCUAUUUCUCCCCUCCUCCCUGUCGUUCUCUACCCUGUUCCCAAUCCUCCCGUACUCUGUUGUAGGUGCAGUACUCUCUACUCUGUUUCUCACCUCCUCCUACCCGUCGUGCUCUACCCUGUCGCUAGUACAGUGUUUUGUUUCUCUUCUCAACAAAUCUUCUCUGCUCUUUAAUGAACAUACAUGAACCAACUGGUUAAACGUGGUCAAUCAUGUAUUGUCUUAAAAAAUAAUUGUAAGAUCAGAAAAUAACACAUAUGGCUUUGCAGAUUUGCACUCGGCAAGGUUCCAAAGCAGUAUACAAUAGUCAAGAUUGCAAUGAUUUAUCUCUCCAGCACAUGAACCCUCGAAUAUAAAUUACAUAUUGUUCAAAUGAAGUGCAUGGUGGAAGACUCGUUAUGGGGCUGUGUUAGUAUGGCUCCAGUGCCCAGAAAUCAUAUGCACUAAGCUUCAGAAACCAAAGUAGCAAGUUUGCUACAGAGUUGUGUCAUUCGUAUCAAGACUUGGUUCACAUCUCAUUCAUUAUGGGGUUGUGUCAGUAACUCAAUAUGACUUCAGUACCCAGCUUAUCUUGGUAUUUGUUAUUAAUAAGGACAUGGUAUUGUUGCUCUUGAGUUAAUCAAUUCAUUCUUUUUUGAGAACCGAGUUAAUCAAUUCAGAUUGGCAAAUACUUGCAUCUCUUAUUGUGCACAAAAUAUAUUAUUUUCAGCUCUUAAUUUCAGUUUCAUAUCAGACGUGUGCACCUAAACACCUAAACACUUAGCAAGUCAGAUAUAAAGAAACAGUUGGGUGGUUCAAUCACUGAAUAAUCCUCUAUCCUUCGAUAACUACCAGAAAUUCAGAGCAGUUCGUCGGUAGCUAUACAUUGAUAUGCAUAUGAGAAAUCGCGUUCCCAAUCUCUCUCCCGUAGACAUCAUCAGCAACAAUCAGGAGCAGUAGCAUCUCCUCUGUCUCAAAUUUUGUCAUCCCAAAAAGUUCCCGUCAUCUUCUCCCCGCCCCCGGUCGAUGGCCACUACACUUAUUACUUCCCCAUGAUUGUCAGCCCGCACCUCCAGGCAAGAUGAUAGGUCUGCAGGGGCAAGACAACACCUCCACGAUGGAAGUACCAUACAUUUCAUGAAGAGAUACCCUUUGUUCAUUGUCCCUGGACAACUCUGUUGUGGACCAUCUAUUUCUUUUUUUUUGCAUCUUCAAUGUAUAGCAAAGAUUAAUAAGUGAUGCAGAAUUUACCCUCAUGGUAGCAUAAAGCUUGUACUUGCCAUGGUUCCUCGAUUAGCACUUGAAAUAAAAGCAAAAACUAAUCAAAAAGCCACUCUGGUGAACAAACUUGAAUCUUGGGACUAUCCCUUUUCAUUGUACAAGCACUACCGAAAACCAUAUUUUUAUUAUUGAUUGAAAAUUCUUGUAAUACAGUCUUCAUUGAAUGCAGUUAUCAUGGGUCAUGGCUCUACUUUUGGCAGAUUACCGGUUCCUUCUACAAGAUAGCUAUACAACUUCAUAGGUCACCAAAUAAUACCAAUCAGGCUAAUUAGUGUAGAAAACUACAUCAAAUUUUUCUGAAGAGAACUGGACCCAAGUACACCAUAUAGGAAAUCAAAGGUAAACUCUAUAUGAACAGCAACAACCGAUGGAACAACUGCCAUCUAAUUCAGCCACACACCACUUGGCAAAGACCUCGAAUAAAAGCAUGCUAGAAACCAACAUAUAAUUGAAAGUGAAAUGCAAAUGUAUUGAAACUAUACGUACCAAAUUUUAUGUACAUUUAUUAUCUAGACAUAUCUUUCUAGCUUCUACAAGAAAUAAUAAGUUAGCCUAAGAAUACUGCACCAUGACCAAAUCUUCUCGGAAUCAUUUUUAUUUCCAACUAUUAAGUUACUUUCCUCUUGCAUGGAUGAACACAAAUAUUACCUAGCAUGCAUAGGCACACGCAUGGCCUGCGGCCACAGUGUAUCCCUAUAGGCGACACGCAUCACAACUAACCCAACACAACAAGACAAAUCCUGCAAUGAGCCGACAAUCUAAUGGAGAAUCAGAGAAUAUAAUACCCCAAGAUCUUACCUGACAUAUUAGAGGCCACUACCGAACCAACAUGAUCCAAGGCAACAUGAAAACCAUCAUCCUCAGCGCUCCUUUAUUUUGCAUGACAGAAUUUGAUACAUCACCAGGCGUCUCUGCAAACAAAACAAGACCAGAUCAAUAAAUCACAGCACAUGCCUGCAAAAUUCCGAACAAGCAAAUCUAGUUCAAACAGAAAAGAAUGAGGCGCUUGGGCAGAGAGGAGAUGGUUUCAUGGCCUCUGCCUCGUCCCUUCCCACCUCAUCCCCGAUCUCGAUCCCACCAUGGUGCUGCAGUGGGCUGGGGUAGCACGACAAAGUGGGGGGAGGGGGGAUAGCGCGA